GACGACGACGUUGAUAGGCCGAGUGUGUAAGCGCAGCGAUGCGUUGAGCUAACCGGUACUAAUGAACCGUGAGGCUUAACCUUACAACGCCGAAG
rnacentral:rRNA from 1 species